GCUUAGAAGCAGCCAUCAUUUAAAAAGUGCGUAAUAGCUUACUGGUCGAGUGUUUUAGCACCGAUAAUGAACGGGAGUAAGCAAGACACCGAAGCAGCGGAUUCAGCUCACGCUGAGUGGUAGGAGAGCGUUCCAGCACAGAUACAAGCCGUACCGAAAGGAGCGGUGUCGGGUGCUGGAAGUGAUUAUGCCGGAAUGAGUAACGAUAAAACAGGUGAGAAUCCUGUUCGCCGCAAACCUAAGGUUUCCUGGGGAAGGUAAUUCCGCCCAGGGUUAGCCGGUACCUUAGUUGAGGCCGAAAGGCGUAGACGAUGGAGAGCAGGUUAAUAUUCCUGCGCCGGAUAUGUGGACCGAUGGGGGGACGUUGUGUAGAUUGUGAUCGGGCUGACAGAAAUGCCCGUAGGGGAAGACAAGGUCGUGGAUAGGAAAAUCCGCCACAUCAGACCAAGGCUUUCACUCGAGUCCAAUGAUGACGAAGUCAUAUGACGCAUAACCAAGAAAAGCCUCUAAGGAUUGAAGCAUAUCUGACCGUACUAAAACUGACACAGGUAGGUGAGGCGCGUAGCCUAAGGCGCUCGAGAAAACGCUGGUUAAGGAACUCUGCAAAUUGACCCCGUAAGUUAGCGAUAAGGGGUGCCUCCGACGGUUCACGCUGUUGGAGGCCACAGAAAAUCGGCUCUGGCGACUGUUUACUAAAAACACAGGACUCUGCGAACUCGUAAGAGGAUGUAUAGAGUCUGACUCCUGCUCGGUGCCGGUAAGUUAAGGAAGAGGGUUAGCCUUCGGGCGAAGCUCGCAACCGAAGCUCCGGUAAACGGCGGCCGUAACUAUGACGGUCCUAAGGUAGCGAAGUUCCUUGUCGGGUAAGUUCCGACC
rnacentral:rRNA from 21 species